rnacentral:rRNA from 2 species
GGUCCCGGCGGACGGGUGAGUAACACGUGGGCAACCUGCCUGUAAGACUGGGAUAACUCCGGGAAACCGGAGCUAAUACCGGAUAGUAUCUUGAACCGCAUGGUUCAAGUUGGAAAGACGGUUUCGGCUGUCACUUACAGAUGGGCCCGCGGCGCAUUAGCUAGUUGGUGAGGUAAUGGCUCACCAAGGCAACGAUGCGUAGCCGACCUGAGAGGGUGAUCGGCCACACUGGGACUGAGACACGGCCCAGACUCCUACGGGAGGCAGCAGUAGGGAAUCUUCCGCAAUGGACGAAAGUCUGACGGAGCAACGCCGCGUGAGUGAUGAAGGUUUUCGGAUCGUAAAACUCUGUUGUUAGGGAAGAACAAGUGCGAGAGUAACUGCUCGCACCUUGACGGUACCUAACCAGAAAGCCACGGCUAACUACGUGCCAGCAGCCGCGGUAAUACGUAGGUGGCAAGCGUUGUCCGGAAUUAUUGGGCGUAAAGCGCGCGCAGGCGGUUUCUUAAGUCUGAUGUGAAAGCCCCCGGCUCAACCGGGGAGGGUCAUUGGAAACUGGGAAACUUGAGUGCAGAAGAGGAGAGUGGAAUUCCACGUGUAGCGGUGAAAUGCGUAGAGAUGUGGAGGAACACCAGUGGCGAAGGCGACUCUCUGGUCUGUAACUGACGCUGAGGCGCGAAAGCGUGGGGAGCGAACAGGAUUAGAUACCCUGGUAGUCCACGCCGUAAACGAUGAGUKCUAAGUGUUAGAGGGKUUUCCSCCCUUUAGUGCUGCAGCUAACGCAUUAAGCACUCCGCCUGGGGAGUACGGUCGCAAGACUGAAACUCAAAGGAAUUGACGGGGGCCCGCACAAGCGGUGGAGCAUGUGGUUUAAUUCGAAGCAACGCGAAGAACCUUACCAGGUCUUGACAUCCUUUGCCACUUGUAGAGAUAGAAGGUUCCCCUUCGGGGGACAAAGUGACAGGUGGUGCAUGGUUGUCGUCAGCUCGUGUCGUGAGAUGUUGGGUUAAGUCCCGCAACGAGCGCAACCCUUGAUCUUAGUUGCCAGCAUUCAUUUGGGCACUCUAAGGUGACUGCCGGUGACAAACCGGAGGAAGAAGGGGAGGACGUAGAAAUC